GUUCGAGCUUUUCAGAGAGUACGUUUUCAUUCGCGCGCCGGCAGCUCUGAUGCAUAUGUGCUGUCGUCGCUUGUCCCCGUGAGCUUAAGUGAUUUACGGAGCCGAUGCUGACACCGGAUGAGGGAGAACUGUCAGGCCUCGUCGAUAGUUUUUAGAGGCGAUUAUAAAUGGAGGAGGAGGGAGAAUUUAGGGGUAUUUGGUGGCACCUCCGACGUGUAAGCAGAGUACAUUGGGAUGAUUAUAGAGACGGUAAGGUGAUCGGUUGCGCCGAGGUUCUACGCUGCGGUGACAUUUUUUAAAAUUUUAUUUUAAUAAAAGACCGGCUUUCAGCAACAAA